rnacentral:rRNA from 1 species
UAAACGUUGGGUGCUAGGUGUGGGUGGACAUCGACCCCAUCCGUGCCGAAGCUAACGCAUUAAGCACCCCGCCUGGGGAGUACGGCCGCAAGGCUAAAACUCCAAAGGAAUUGACGGGGGCCCGCACAAGCGGCGGAGCAUGCGGCUUAAUUCGAUGCGACGCGAAGAACCUUACCUGGGCUUGACAUGCAGGGCAAAGCCGGUGAAAGCCGGCGCUCUACGGAGCCUGCACAGGUGGUGCAUGGCUGUCGUCAGCUCGUGCCGUGAGGUGUUGCCUUAAGUGGCGCAACGAGCGCAACCCUUGUCCUUAGUUGCCAGCGGGUAAAGCCGGGAACUCUAGGGAGACUGCCGGUGCCAAACCGGAGGAAGGUGGGGAUGACGUCAAGUCAUCAUGCCCCUUAUGUCCAGGGCUGCACGCAUGCUACAAUGCGCGGUACAAAGGGCUGCGAUCCCGUAAGGGGGAGCGAAUCCCAAAAAGCCGCGCUCAGUUCGGAUCGGGGUCUGCAACCCGACCCCGUGAA